rnacentral:rRNA from 1 species
UACGGAGGGUGCGAGCGUUGUCCGGAAUCACUGGGCGUAAAGGGCGCGUAGGUGGCGCGGGAAGUCAACGGUGAAAGUUCAGGGCUCAACCCUGAAUCGGCCGUCGAUACUCCCGGGCUUGAGCACUGUAGAGGCAGAUGGAAUUCCGGGUGUAGCGGUGGAAUGCGUAGAGAUCCGGAAGAACACCGGUGGCGAAGGCGGUCUGCUGGGCAGUUGCUGACACUGAUGGACGAAAGCCAGGGUAGCGAACGGG